rnacentral:rRNA from 1 species
UACGAAGGGUGCAAGCGUUACUCGGAAUUACUGGGCGUAAAGCGUGCGUAGGUGGUUUGUUAAGUCUGCUGUGAAAGCCCCGGGCUCAACCUGGGAAUGGCAGUGGAUACUGGCAAGCUAGAGUGCGGUAGAGGGGUGUGGAAUUCCCGGUGUAGCGGUGAAAUGCGUAGAGAUCGGGAGGAACACCAGUGGCGAAGGCGGCACCCUGGACAAGCACUGACACUGAGGCACGAAAGCGUGGGGAGCAAACAGG